UACGUAGGGUGCGAGCGUUAAUCGGAAUUACUGGGCGUAAAGCGUGCGCAGGCGGUUUUGUAAGCCAGAUGUGAAAUCCCCGGGCUAACCUGGGAAUGGCAUUUGGGACUGCAAGGCUGGAGUGCGGCAGAGGAGACUGGAAUUCCUGGUGUAGCAGUGAAAUGCGUAGAUAUCAGGAGGAACACCGAUGGCGAAGGCAGGUCUCUGGGCUGACACUGACGCUCAUGCACGAAAGGCGUGGGGAGC
rnacentral:rRNA from 1 species